rnacentral:sRNA from 1 species
GGUGGACCUCUUCGGGAGAGUGUACACGCUGUCCACAGCAGGCCAGUACUGGGAACUGUGCAAGGACUCCCAGCUGGAGUUCAAGCGCGUCAGCGCCACCACGCAGUGCUGCUGGGGCAUUGCCUGUGACAACCAGGUCUACGUGUAUGUGUGUGCCAGCGAUGUCCCCAUCCGCCGCCGAGAGGAGGCCUAUGAGAAUCAGCGAGCUCAGUGGGAAGACCUGGAAGGCCAUCAUCGCGGCCCGAGAGUGUGACCGGUCACACUCUGGCAGCUCGUCUAGUCUCCUCAGUGCCGGCUGCUUCUUCGGUGAUGAGGUGAGGGGUAGUGGCGAGUCUGCCCCCAGCGACACCGAUGCCUCCUCGGAAGUCGAGAGACCAGGGCCUGGCCAGACUCUCCCUGCAGAACCUCUAGACGAUUCCAAGAAUGCCACAGGGAACUCAGCCUCAGGCCUGGGGGCUGGCAGGACCGCAGAAGAUACCGUGGAAGAUGCCUGCCCAGCCGAGGGCAGCAGGGAGGCCAGACCCAACACGCACCCCGGCCCGGCCCCCACCCCGGCCGAGCUGCCCUGGACCAAUAUUGACCUCAAGGAGGCCAAGAAAGUGCCCAGCCACUCGGCCGCUGGCUUCCCCGAGACCACCAGCCUCUCCUCGCUGGGGCUCCUCCCACUGGGCUUGGAGGAGCCGUAUGGGGUGGAUGACCACCCGCUGUGGGCCUGGGUGUCGGGAGGCGGCUGCGUGGUGGAGGCAUGUGCCAUGCCCAGGUGGUUCACUGUCC